UAAAACUCCUCCAUUAAACUUAUAUAAAUAUAAAUAAAUAAAAACAGAGAAUAACCAAGUAAAGAACCUUCCUAGGGUCAUUGAUAAACUUUUCCAGAAAAGCUCAUCUCCGGCGACCUUUCUUUAUUUGUAUCAUUUUUCCAUGUCAGAGAGAACACUUGAACUUAUUAGUUUAUUUAAUUGUUUUGGGGAGUUGAAGUGAAGAUGCCACCAAUUGGACUCUAUCGUUGCCACCUUCGUCGUACAAAUUUGAAAGAAUCCACUCCAUUGAAAACUUAGUCUUCUCUUUUUGUCAUCUUAUUGAUGUUGAAUUUCAGUUAUAUCACAGUUGAUAUUUUUUUGUAAAUUUCUCCUUAAAUUGUUUUCAAGUCAAUUCAAACAAUUGGUUCUUGUUUUUAUGUUUAUGUUAGAAGUAAUAUGUUGUCAUCGACAAUGAUUGAAAGGGUUGUUGGUCUUUAUUGGUGAAGAUAAGGAUAAUAGGGUGAUAGAGAUGAGGAUGAUAGGGCUAUUGGUGAUUAUGUGGUGGCAACAUAGCAAUGCGAAGAAUUAUAGAAGAGGGGUGUUUAUGAUAAAUUUGUAGCGGUAUAGUUUUUUAUGAACUUGAUUAAGGCUGCCAUGGAUGGUGGUCGAUAAUGGAGGUGAGUGUCGACUCUGAAGGUAAGAGAGGGACCAAGAGAAAAAGAUAUAUUUUUCUGUCAAAAGAAAAGGCAAAUUAGGUAGAAAAAAUAACUUCAAUGUGCUCAAAAUCUUGUUAUCGGACAUGUAUAUGCAACAUCAGCCACAAAGGUUCAGAAGAUAUACUUCUGGCAAGUAAAGGUAUCUAGUUGUCAGUUGGGAAGUGGAUGUGUUCAUCUGAUUGUUGGAAACAACUUAAAUCAUUUAUGUAUUUUGCCUUCUUUAAUUCUAUAAUAGAAGUACUAGCUAUAAAUAUGAACAAGCUUCUGAAGAAGGACAUAUACUAAAAACACUCACGUCUUUAAGUUCUCUAUUACUAUCCCAACACCAACAGUAAUAUUUUUUAGCAAGUAAAACACAUCUGCCUCGCUAUGGAGCCGUCGAACAACGUCAUUGUGGCGCUUCUGGAUGGCAAAAUGCUUCUACGAAAUAGGCGAAACAAACCAUUGAAGCAAUUGAAGGCAAAGUCUCAUAUGCAAGCAGAGUCACAAAUAGCAAUCACCAUGAUCGUGACUCUGUAAUCGCUACUCACACCACACACAACGGUAUGAUAGAAAUCAUGUUAAAAGCAUUUUACUACAUGGCUUCAGGGACUACCAACUAGU
rnacentral:lncRNA from 1 species